AUUGAACGCUGGCGGCAUGCCUUACACAUGCAAGUCGAACGGCAGCACGGGUGCUUGCACCUGGUGGCGAGUGGCGAACGGGUGAGUAAUGUAUCGGAACGUACCAUUCAGUGGGGGAUAACGUAGCGAAAGUUACGCUAAUACCGCAUAUUCUCUGAGGAGGAAAGUAGGGAUCGCAAGACCUUACGCUGAUUGAGCGGCCGAUAUCGGAUUAGCUAGUUGGUGAGGUAAAGGCUCACCAAGGCGACGAUCCGUAGCUGGUCUGAGAGGAUGAUCAGCCACACUGGAACUGAGACACGGUCCAGACUCCUACGGGAGGCAGCAGUGGGGAAUUUUGGACAAUGGGGGCAACCCUGAUCCAGCCAUGCCGCGUGAGUGAAGAAGGCCUGGUGUAAG
rnacentral:rRNA from 1 species